CGCAGCCCAGGCCACGCCCAGUAGGGCCCGCCCCAUCUCUGCCCCAAUCGGCUCCCCAGCGUGUCCACAGCGCAGCCGAGGCCGGAAGUGGGAACUGCGCAGGCUGCGAAUUACCGUGAUGACGGCGGGAAUGCUGACUGGGAACGAGCUCACGGAGAACGGGGACGGCAUGGUGCCGGAGAGCAGCCCUCGCAGCAGCCGUACACCCGCCUGGCCGGGCUCCAAGGAGGAAGGCCUCGAUCUCUGCCUCGCGACAUCAGCCGCCCUCGCGAGACUACGCGGUCCUCCCUCUCGCGAUAGUUCCGUGACGUGUUUUUAGGAGCGCGUUAUGGGCCCUGCGGACGUGGACAGUGUCCUCCCCCGGGAAACUGCACGACCCGGACGGUGUCCCCGCCUGGGACCCCGUGGGACUUGGACAGAGGACCGUUAGGACCCGAAGAGUGUCCCCCACCCGCCACCCCGGGACCCCGCGGACCCGGACAGUUCCGCGCCCCCACCCUGCGGGGCACAGGCCAGUGCGCGUGCUCGUCCUUAGAGAUUUACCGCCCUCGUUAUGCCUCACCUCCUUCUUCAGAAAUGGAUAGAAAAAUACAAAAAUUGAUUGGGGAUUAUUUCUCACUUAUAAAAUUAA